rnacentral:rRNA from 1 species
UACGGGGGGGGCAAGCGUUGUUCGGAAUUACUGGGCGUAAAGGGCGUGUAGGCGGCCUUCUAAGUCGGACGUGAAAUCCCUCGGCUUAACCGAGGAACUGCGUCCGAUACUGAAAGGCUUGAAUCCGGGAGAGGGAUGUGGAAUUCCAGGUGUAGCGGUGAAAUGCGUAGAUAUCUGGAGGAACACCGGUGGCGAAGGCGGCAUCCUGGACCGGCAUUGACGCUGAGGCGCGAAAGCUAGGGGAGCAAACGGG